AGGAUUACGUCACCUUUUAUAUAACAUCUGGCAGUGACUUUUAUUUCAGAGCUAAUUUGAAGAAGCCAGGCGCUUUUCUUUUCCUUUCCCCAAGACUGCCUUUAUCUGAAAAGAAGAAAGAAAGAACUGUUACAUUUUGCAUGCAAAGAAAGCCAGAGUGUCUAGAUUACUCCCUUAAGGUAAUGGAGAAAAGAAAAAGAAAUUGAAAAAGGUCAGGUGAGCACGGCAGAAGGAAUGAAGAGGUUUGUGUGAUUCUUAGUGAAAUUGGACCAGUCUAAGCAACCAGACAGGUGGCUGGCUUAGGGCAGUCUUGACAGGAGAGCAGGAGGAGCAACUGUUGAAAGAAGAGGGGAGAUAGUGAAAUUAAAGUUGCGGUGAUAAAAUUGGAUUAGGAGAGAGGCCACUGAUGGAUAAGGUCAGAAAGUCAGGUAUAGUUUACCUGGAUGGUUCUGCUGUGGAUCUCUCUAAGAUUUCACUCAAGAUGUUGGUUGGGUCUGCAGUCAUCUGAGGACUUGACUGGGGCUGAAGGAUCUCCUUCCAAGAUAACUCACCCUUGUGCCUGGCAAGCUGAUGCUGACUUGGAUGGAGAAAGAGGAUCGCCUCACCUGUGAAGAUGUGCAUAUAGUAUAAGAAAUUGAAAAAAACAGCUUCAUCUUUAACAACGUGACUAGCUGAUCUGACAUCUGGCUGGCUUGCAUCAAUGGAAAUGCAACGACUUCCUGGUCCAAGAGCAGCCUGCUCUGGGAGCUGAAGUCCUCCUGUGUAUUCCUUGAACUGGAUCCAAAUUCAUUACAGACAGACUGUGAAGCGGACAUAGAUGAUGAAGCUGGUGAAGAGGAGGGGGCAGGAGGGAAGGCAAGCAAGGGACGGAGACAAGCCUUCCCUGGAAUAUUUGCCGAGUGAACGUCCUCUGUGCAGACUCACAUGAUGCUUUGUCAUCUUUGGGAGAAGAGCCAAUAUUAUAAAAAGUUGCUGGGGAAAAAAUGGAUCACGGCAGAGUAACCAGGGCAUUUAACCAGCCUGAGUUUGGAGGUGAUGGUUGCUGGCCUCUGUGGGUUUCCCGGGUCAAAGAAACAGAAUUUAGAACCUGGAAGUGUUGAUCAAGAUAAACACCGCAACUUUGAUCAGUUAAGUAUGAAUAAAUCAGAAAUGUAUGCUUUAAAUUCCCUUCGAAAUACAUAUGUACUUAGAGGUUAAGGGGAGAAAGCGUUUGGCAGAAUACAUCUCAGAAGUUGCCAGCCAUAUAAUGCUUGAAAAAUCGCCAGUUCCACUUUGCCAAACCUAAAAGCAGCCAGGUUUGCUCAUCUCCACAUUAAAGGAACAUUAAGGUCUUUAUCUAUUGACCUAAACCUAAUAAAGAAGGGGAAUUUUAGAGCUGAGACUAAUGUUUUUGUUUUUUUUUUUUAAAUCACCUCCUACUGCCUAAUUAUUGUUGAGAUCUCUGUGCGAUGUUGCAUAUCUAAUCCAUGAUACUCAAUAAUACCCAAGUGUGGAGCUGGCAAAUAAGUCAAGGAUGUUAUAAAGAGGGCAGGGACCAAUUAGCCUCAUUAGGUCGAGCAAGCCUCAGAACAAGUGAUAGCCUCUGACUGCAGUAAGGAAAAAUUAGAUGAAAUGUUAGAAAAGAUGGCAUUACAUAACAGGCAAAGCCACAGCUGCAUCAGGAUAUAAAAUCACUUAAAAUUUU